rnacentral:rRNA from 1 species
AUCCUGGCUCAGAUUGAACGCUGGCGGCAUGCCUUACACAUGCAAGUCGAACGGCAGCGGGCCUUCGGGUGCCGGCGAGUGGCGAACGGGUGAGUAAUGCAUCGGAACGUGCCAUUGAGUGGGGGAUAACGUAGCGAAAGUUACGCUAAUACCGCAUAUUCUGUGAGCAGGAAAGCAGGGGAUCGCAAGACCUUGCGCUGAUUGAGCGGCCGAUGUCAGAUUAGCUAGUUGGUGAGGUAAAGGCUCACCAAGGCGACGAUCUGUAGCGGGUCUGAGAGGAUGAUCCGCCACACUGGAACUGAGACACGGUCCAGACUCCUACGGGAGGCAGCAGUGGGGAAUUUUGGACAAUGGGGCAACCCUGAUCCAGCCAUGCCGCGUGAGUGAAGAAGGCCUUCGGGUUGUAAAGCUCUUUCGGCCGGGAAGAAAUCGCAUGGGUUAAUACCCUGUGCGGAUGACGGUACCGGCAUAAGAAGCACCGGCUAACUACGUG